rnacentral:rRNA from 1 species
CUACGGGUGGCUGCAGUGGGGAAUAUUGCACAAUGGAGGAAACUCUGAUGCAGCAACGCCGCGUGGAGGAUGACACUUUUCGGAGCGUAAACUCCUUUUAUAUAGGAAGAAGAUGACGGUACUAUAUGAAUAAGCGCCGGCUAACUCGCGUGCCAGCAGCCGCGGUAAUACGGAGGGCGCAAGCGUUACUCGGAAUCACUGGGCGUAAAGAGCGUGUAGGCGGAUUAAAAAGUCAGAAGUGAAAUCCUAUAGCUUAACUAUAGAACUGCUUCUGAAACUCUUAAUCUAGAAUAUGGGAGAGGUAGAUGGAAUUUCUGGUGUAGGGGUAAAAUCCGUAGAGAUCAGAAGGAAUACCGAUUGCGAAGGCGAUCUACUAGAACAUUAUUGACGCUGAGACGCAAAAGCGUGGGGAGCAAACAGGAUUAGAUACCCCCGUAGUC